rnacentral:rRNA from 2 species
UGAGGAAUAUUGGUCAAUGGACGAGAGUCUGAACCAGCCAAGUAGCGUGAAGGAUGACUGCCCUAUGGGUUGUAAACUUCUUUUAUACGGGAAUAAAGUUAGCCACGUGUGGCUUUUUGUAUGUACCGUAUGAAUAAGGAUCGGCUAACUCCGUGCCAGCAGCCGCGGUAAUACGGAGGAUCCGAGCGUUAUCCGGAUUUAUUGGGUUUAAAGGGAGCGUAGGCGGGUUGUUAAGUCAGUUGUGAAAGUUUGCGGCUCAACCGUAAAAUUGCAGUUGAUACUGGCGACCUUGAGUGCAACAGAGGUAGGCGGAAUUCGUGGUGUAGCGGUGAAAUGCUUAGAUAUCACGAAGAACUCCGAUUGCGAAGGCAGCUUACUGGAUUGUAACUGACGCUGAUGCUCGAAAGUGUGGGUAUCAAACAGGAUUAGAUACCCUGGUAGUCCACACAGUAAACGAUGAAUACUCGCUGUUGGUGAUAUACGGUCAGCGGCCAAGCGAAAGCAUUAAGUAUUCCACCUGGGGAGUACGCCGGCAACGGUGAAACUCAAAGGAAUUGACGGGGGCCCGCACAAGCGGAGGAACAUGUGGUUUAAUUCGAUGAUACGCGAGGAACCUUACCCGGGCUUAAAUUGCAACUGACUGAACCGGAAACGGUUCUUUCUUCGGACAGUUGUGAAGGUGCUGCAUGGUUGUCGUCAGCUCGUGCCGUGAGGUGUCGGCUUAAGUGCCAUAACGAGCGCAACCCUUAUCGAUAGUUACUAGCAGGUCAUGCUGAGGACUCUAUUGAGACUGCCGUCGUAAGAUGUGAGGAAGGUGGGGAUGACGUCAAAUCAGCACGGCCCUUACGUCCGGGGCUACACACGUGUUACAAUGGGGGGUACAGAAGGCAGCUACACGGCGACGUGGUGCUAAUCCCGAAAGCCUCUCUCAGUUCGGAUUGGAGUCUGCAACCCGACUCCAUGAAGCUGGAUUCGCUAGUAAUCGCGCAUCAGCCACGGCGCGGUGAAUACGUUCCC